rnacentral:rRNA from 1 species
UACGUAGGGGGCAAGCGUUGUCCGGAAUCAUUGGGCGUAAAGAGCGCGUAGGUGGCUCGGUAAGUCCGCUGUGAAAGUCCAGGGCUCAACCCUGGAAAGCCGGUGGAAACUGUCGAGCUCGAGUCCGGAAGAGGCGAGUGGAAUUCCUGGUGUAGCGGUGAAAUGCGCAGAUAUCAGGAGGAACACCAAUGGCGAAGGCAGCUCGCUGGGGCGGUACUGACACUGAGACGCGAAAGCGUGGGGGAGCAAACAGG